GGCCGUGUGCCCAAGUGGUUCAGGGGCUCGACUGCGACUCGAGUUACACCGGUUCGAAUCCGGUCAUGGCCCCCA
rnacentral:tRNA from 1 species